CAGGUGGUGCAUGGUUGUCGUCAGCUCGUGUCGUGAGAUGUUGGGUUAAGUCCCGCAACGAGCGCAACCCUUGAUUUUAGUUGCCAGCAUUUAGUUGGGCACUCUAAAGUGACUGCCGGUGCAAGCCGGAGGAAGGUGGGGAUGACGUCAAAUCAUCAUGCCCCUUAUGACCUGGGCUACACACGUGCUACAAUGGAUAGUACAAAGGGUCGCGAAGCCGCGAGGUGGAGCUAAUCCCAUAAAACUAUUCUCAGUUCGGAUUGUAGGCUGCAACUCGCCUACAUGAAGCCGGAAUCGCUAGUAAUCGUGGAUCAGCAUGCCACGGUGAAUACGUUCCCGGGCCUUGUACACACCGCCCGUCACACCACGAGAGUUUGUAACACCCGAAGUCGGUAGGGUAACCUUUAUGGAGCCAGCCGCCGAAGGUGGGACAGAUAAUUGGGGUGAAGUCGUAACAAGGUAGCCGUAUCGGAAGGUGCGGCUGGAUCACCUCCUUUCUAAGGAA
rnacentral:rRNA from 1 species